rnacentral:misc_RNA from 1 species
GAUGAAGAACGUAGCGAAAUGCGAUACUUGGUGUGAAUUGCAGAAUCCCGUGAACCAUCGAGUCUUUGAACGCAAGUUGCGCCCGAAGCCAUUAGGCCGAGGGCACGCCUGCCUGGGCGUCACACGUCGUUGCCCCCCCAUCUACUCCUUCGGGAUUGCGGGGGGCGGAUGAUGGCCUCUCGUGCGCCUCGUCGCGCGGUUGGCCUAAAUGCCAAGUCCUCGGCGACGCACGCCACGACAAUCGGUGGUUGCGAAACCUCGGUUGCCUGUCGUGUGCGGUCGCCGCGCAUCGAGGGCUCGAAAAAAUUGCCGGGCUUCGGCUCGACUUUCAACGCGACCCCAGGUCAGGCGGGGUUACCCGCUGAAUUUAAGCAUAUCAAUAACGGAGGA